GGAUUAGAUACCCUGGUAGUCCACGCCGUAAACGAUGCUCACUGGUUCUGUGCGAUAUAUUGUACGGGAUUAAGCGAAAGUAUUAAGUGAGCCACCUGGGGAGUACGUCGGCAACGAUGAAACUCAAAGGAAUUGACGGGGGCCCGCACAAGCGGAGGAACAUGUGGUUUAAUUCGAUGAUACGCGAGGAACCUUACCUGGGUUUAAAUGGGAAAUGCCGUAUUUGGAAACAGAUAUUCUCUUCGGAGCGUUUUUCAAGGUGCUGCAUGGUUGUCGUCAGCUCGUGCCGUGAGGUGUCGGGUUAAGUCCCAUAACGAGCGCAACCCUUACCGUUAGUUGCUAGCAUGUAAUGAUGAGCACUCUAACGGGACUGCCACCGUAAGGUGAGAGGAAGGCGGGGAUGACGUCAAAUCAGCACGGCCCUUACACCCAGGGCUACACACGUGUUACAAUGGCCGGUACAGAGGGCCGCUACCAGGUGACUGGAUGCCAAUCUCAAAAGCCGGUCGUAGUUCGGAUUGGAGUCUGUAACCCGACUCCAUGAAGUUGGAUUCGCUAGUAAUCGCGCAUCAGCCAUGGCGCGGUGAAUACGUUCCCGGGCCUUGUACACACCGCCCGUCAAGCCAUGGAAGCCGGGGGUGCCUGAAGUCCGUAACCGCGAGGAUCGGCCUAGGGCAAAACUGGUAACUGGGGCUAAGUCGUAACAAGGUAGCCGUACCGGAAGGUGCGGCUG
rnacentral:rRNA from 1 species